AUCCAUUUGUGGUUCACAAGCAUGAUGAUCAGGUUGAUACAUGUGGUUGUGUGACAUGUGCCUCCCUCCAAACCUUGUUACAACAUUGGCACAUUACCCUUCUGAUG